rnacentral:rRNA from 1 species
UCAGGACAAACGCUGGCGGCGUGCCUAACACAUGCAAGUCGAACGAAGCACUGUGGAAAGAGACUCCGGUCAAUUGAAACUUUGACUUAGUGGCGGACGGGUGAGUAAUGCAUGAGCAACCUGCCCUGGAGAGGGGGACAACAGCUGGAAACGGCUGCUAAUACCGCAUGAUGUCACCGGGAGGCAUCUCCUGGUGACCAAAGAUUUAUCGCUCUGGGAUGGGCUCAUGUCUGAUUAGAUAGUUGGCGGGGCAACGGCCCACCAAGUCUGCGAUCAGUAGCCGGACUGAGAGGUUGAACGGCCACAUUGGGACUGAGAUACGGCCCAGACUCCUACGGGAGGCAGCAGUGGGGAAUAUUGGGCAAUGGGCGCAAGCCCUGACCCAGCAACGCCGCGUGAAGGAAGAAGGCUUUCGGGUUGUAAACUUCUUUUAUCAGGGACGAAGAAAGUGACGGUACCUGAUGAAUAAGCCACGGCUAACUACGUGCCAGCCGCCGC